rnacentral:tRNA from 1 species
UCCCUGGUGGCUCAGAUGCUAAAGAAUCUGCCUGCAAUGCAGGAGAUGUGGGUUUUCUCCCACCUGGAGAA